GUUUUCUUUGACAGCACAUAUACUAAAAUUGAAGUGAUACAGAGAAGAAUAUCAUGGCCCCUGUGUAAGGACAACAGGCAAGUUUAUAAAGUCUUCCAUGUUUUU
ensembl:snRNA U6 U6 spliceosomal RNA